GUCCUAGCCCUAAACGAUGGAUACUUGCUGUGAGGGGGAUUGAAUCCCUUCGUGGCGAAGCUAACGCAUUAAGUAUCCCGCCUGGGGAGUACGGUCACAAGGCUGAAACUCAAAGGAAUUGACGGGGGCCCGCACAAGCGGUGGAGUAUGUGGUUUAAUUCGACGCAACGCGAAGAACCUUACCUGGGCUCGAACGGCUAGUGACAGGCGGCGAAAGUCGUUUUUCCCGCAAGGGACACUAGUCGAGGUGCUGCAUGGCUGUCGU
rnacentral:rRNA from 1 species